rnacentral:siRNA from 1 species
AUGGAGGAGUCAUCGAUAUGC